CAACCUGCCCACCACUUGGGGAUAACCUUGCGAAAGUAAGACUAAUACCCAAUGAUAUCUCUAGAAGACAUCUGAAAGAGAUUAAAGAUUUAUCGGUGAUGGAUGGGGAUGCGUCUGAUUAGCUUGUUGGCGGGGUAACGGCCCACCAAGGCAACGAUCAGUAGGGGUUCUGAGAGGAAGGUCCCCCACAUUGGAACUGAGACACGGUCCAAACUCCUACGGGAGGCAGCAGUGAGGAAUAUUGGUCAAUGGGCGAAAGCCUGAACCAGCCAAGUAGCGUGCAGGAUGACGGCCCUAUGGGUUGUAAACUGCUUUUAUACAGGAAUAAAGUUAGCCACGUGUGGUUAUUUGUAGGUACUGUAUGAAUAAGGACCGGCUAAUUCCGUGCCAGCAGCCGCGGUAAUACGGAAGGUCCAGGCGUUAUCCGGAUUUAUUGGGUUUAAAGGGAGCGUAGGCCGUCUGUUAAGCGUGUUGUGAAAUGUAGAUGCUCAACAUCUGGAUUGCAGCGCGAACUGGCAGACUUGAGUGUGCGCAACGUAGGCGGAAUUCGUGGUGUAGCGGUGAAAUGCUUAGAUAUCACGAAGAACUCCGAUUG
rnacentral:rRNA from 1 species